rnacentral:rRNA from 1 species
GCAGUGGGGAAUAUUGCACAAUGGGGGAAACCCUGAUGCAGCGACGCCGCGUGGAGGAAGAAGGUCUUCGGAUUGUAAACUCCUGUUGUUGAGGAAGAAAGACGGUACUCAACAAGGAAGUGACGGCUAACUACGUGCCAGCAGCCGCGGUAAAACGUAGGUCACAAGCGUUGUCCGGAAUUACUGGGUGUAAAGGGAGCGCAGGCGGGAAGCAAGUUGGAAGUGAAAUCCAUGGGCUCAACCCAUGAACUGCUUUCAAAACUUUUUUCUUGAGUAGUGCAGAGGUAGGCGGAAUUCCCGGUGUAGCGGUGGAAUGCGUAGAUAUCGGGAGGAACACCAGUGGCGAAGGCGGCCUACUGGGCACCAACUGACGCUGAGGCUCGAAAGUGUGGGUAGCAAACAGGAUUAGAUACCCUGGUAGUCCACACUGUAAACGAUGAUUACUAGGUGUUGGAG